rnacentral:lncRNA from 1 species
AAAUCCCUUGUGGUUUGAUUCGGAUCGGACCCAUUUUAGUUCAGGUUGGAUCCUUCAUGGUUUGGUUCAAGUCAAACUAGCUUGUAGUUUGAUUUGGUUCGGUUAAUGUCUUUAAUGGUUCAAUUAGACUUAUUGAUUAGACUUGAUCGGCUUAUCAUCCGAUUUGAUUUGUCAUUAUGGUUUGGUUGACUCGAGUCAAGUCUAUCACGAAGACGACGACCCGGUUUAAUUGAACCGAACUCGGGUCAAGCCUAUCACGAAGACGGCGACCCGGUUUAAUUAAGCGAACCCGAGUCAAGCCUAUCACGAAGACGGCGACCCGGUUUAAUUAACCGAUCCCGGGUCAAGCCUAUCACGAAGACGGCGACCCGGUUUAAUUAACCGAACCCGGGUCAAGCCUAUCACGAAGACGGCG